CAUUAUCAACAAACCAGUUUUGACUCCUUCCUUUUGCUUCUUUGUUUAUACAACAACAAACUAUGGUUAAUGUUGGGUGACUCAUUACUUUAGCAUCUUAUUCAACGUGUAUGUAGUUGCAUCACAUUCCAGCCUAUGAACCACAAAUCAGCCCUCUAACAAGUAACUCAACACAUGAUAAAUUCCAUUUGCUGCUACGGUAUGCUGACUAUAUCUAUAUCAUUUAACCUUCUUGAUAUAGAUUAAAAGGUGAGGACAGAUGACAUGCAAGAUGUGUGUUAACAAUGAAGAUAUGUCUUUUAAUUUCAAUUUGGUCUGCAGGGGCUAGUGUAUUUUCCCUUAAUGCUCAGAGCAACUACAACUCUCAACUGGGAGAAUGCCAAGAUCGCCAUGUUGAAGGAUUAAUAGAACAAGGAACAACAAAUAUUUGAGUGCAUGAUUGCAAACUUGUUUGAAGAGUACAAGUUUUUCAACAGAUACCCUGAUAGACAACUUAAGCUUGCUGCUAUUUUCGUUGGAUUGCUUAUUAAGAAUCAACUCGUGACCCAUCUGACACUUGGAAUUGCAUUACGUGCUGUUUGGAUGCAUUGUGCAAGCCUACAUAUUCCAAAGCUA